CCUUUCCCUACUGUUAGAGGCAGGAAAUGAGUCUUGCUGCAUUGUGAAAAACACAUCACCCAUUUGCCAUACUGUAUAACUGAUCAGCAAUAGUGGGAAGAGCACACCCACCACACAGCGAUAGCUAAGACAGCACAGCAUUUAAAAGUGUGGGAGUAAUUACCCGUGUACAGUGACAGGGGUGUGGAGCAAUCUCAGCAUUGAGACCCCAUGAAUAUGAUGCUGGCAAUUCCACCAGUGGAGCUCUACGCCGGUGAUGCCAUGCCGGAGGGAAGACUGAAGGGAACAGACUGGACUGGCGACCGAUAAUAAUCUGUUGUGCAAAGCAGCACUGAAUCUUGGUGAACGGCUGCUCAGGCUGCCCUGUCUGGCACGGAGAGGGAGGCAGAGCCCUGGGGAGCAGCAAAAGUCCCAUGCCUCCUGCGAGCGGUUCUGCAGCCAGUCAGGGCUGCCCGCAUCAAAGCCCAGCCAGGAUCUGAGUGGGAAACAAAUUUUGUCAUGGCCUACCUUCCGAGUCCACCAGGUCUGAG